rnacentral:snoRNA from 1 species
AAGCAACACUCUGUGGUAGAUACAUGGUUGUCUGCUACAAUUUACGCUUGCUACAGUAACCAUAGUCUCACCUAUUCCAGUGGUCUCUGUAGGUGAGGUCAUCUGUUAUAUAGACUCUUACAUC